UAACGCGUGAGUAACCUGCCUCUAAGAGGGGAAGUAACAUUCUGAAAAGAAUGCUAAUACCGCAUAACAUAUAUUUAUCGCAUGGUAGAUAUAUCAAAGAUUUAUCGCUUAGAGAUGGACUCGCGUCCGAUUAGUUAGUUGGUGAGGUAACGGCUCACCAAGACUGCGAUCGGUAGCCGGACUGAGAGGUUGAACGGCCACAUUGGGACUGAGACACGGCCCAG
rnacentral:rRNA from 1 species